rnacentral:rRNA from 1 species
UACGAAGGGUGCAAACGUUGCUCGGAAUUAUUGGGCGUAAGCGCACGUAGGCGGCUUAGCAAGUUGAAUGUGAAAUCCCUCGGCUUAACCAAGGAAGUGCAUCCAAAACUGCUGAGCUUGAGUACUUAAGAGGAUCGCGGAAUUCCCGGUGUAGAGGUGAAAUUCGUAGAUAUCGGGAGGAACACCAGUGGCGAAGGCGGCGAUCCG